rnacentral:rRNA from 1 species
GAUGAACGCUGGCGGCGUGCUUAACACAUGCAAGUCGAACGAAGCACCUUAUUCUGAUUUCUUCGGAAUGAAAAAUUUGGUGACUGAGUGGCGGACGGGUGAGUAACGCGUGGGUAACCUGCCUCAUACAGGGGGAUAACAGUUAGAAAUGACUGCUAAUACCGCAUAAGACCACAGCACCGCAUGGUGCAGGGGUAAAAACUCCGGUGGUAUGAGAUGGACCCGCGUCUGAUUAGGUAGUUGGUGGGGUAACGGCCUACCAAGCCGACGAUCAGUAGCCGACCUGAGAGGGUGACCGGCCACAUUGGGACUGAGACACGGCCCAAACUCCUACGGGAGGCAGCAGUGGGGAAUAUUGCACAAUGGGGGAAACCCUGAUGCAGCGACGCCGCGUGAGCGAUGAAGUAUUUCGGUAUGUAAAGCUCUAUCAGCAGGGAAGAAAAUGACGGUACCUGACUAAGAAGCACCGGCUAAAUACGUGCCAGCAGCCGCGGUAAUACGUAUGGUGCAAGCGUUAUCCGGAUUUACUGGGUGUAAAGGGAGCGUAGACGGAGUGGCAAGUCUGAUGUGAAAACCCGGGGCUCAACCCCGGGACUGCAUUGGAAACUGUCAAUCUAGAGUACCGGAGAGGUAAGCGGAAUUCCUAGUGUAGCGGUGAAAUGCGUAGAUAUUAGGAGGAACACCAGUGGCGAAGGCGGCUUACUGGACGGUAACUGACGUUGAGGCUCGAAAGCGUGGGGAGCAAACAGGAUUAGAUACCCUGGUAGUCCACGCCGUAACCGAUGACUACUAGGUGUCGGGCAGCAAAGCUGUUCGGUGCCGCAGCAAACGCAAUAAGUAGUCCACCUGGGGAGUACGUUCGCAAGAAUGAGACUCAAAGGAAUUGACGGGGACCCGCACAAGCGGUGGAGCGUGUGGUUUAAUUCGAAGCAACGCGAAGAACCUUACCUGCUCUUGACAUCUCCCUGACCGGCAAGUAAUGUUGCCUUUCCUUCGGGACAGGGAUGACAGGUGGUGCAUGGUUGUCGUCAGCUCGUGUCGUGAGAUGUUGGGUUAAGUCCCGCAACGAGCGCAACCCCUAUCUUUAGUAGCCAGCGGUUCGGCCGGGCACUCUAGAGAGACUGCCAGGGAUAACCUGGAGGAAGGUGGGGAUGACGUCAAAUCAUCAUGCCCCUUAUGAGCAGGGCUACACACGUGCUACAAUGGCGUAAACAAAGGGAGGCAGAACCGCGAGGUCGAGCAAAUCCCAAAAAUAACGUCUCAGUUCGGAUUGUAGUCUGCAACUCGACUACAUGAAGCUGGAAUCGCUAGUAAUCGCGAAUCAGAAUGUCGCGGUGAAUACGUUCCCGGGUCU